GACGAACGCUGGCGGCGUGCCUAAUACAUGCAAGUCGAACGCUUCUUUCCUCCCGAGUGCUUGCACUCAAUUGGAAAGAGGAGUGGCGGACGGGUGAGUAACACGUGGGUAACCUACCCAUCAGUGGGGGAUAACACUUGGAAACAGGUGCUAAUACCGCAUAACAGUUUAUGCCGCAUGGCAUAAGAGUGAAAGGCGCUUUCGGGUGUCGCUGAUGGAUGGACCCGCGGUGCAUUAGCUAGUUGGUGAGGUAACGGCUCACCAAGGCCACGAUGCAUAGCCGACCUGAGAGGGUGAUCGGCCACACUGGGACUGAGACACGGCCCAGACUCCUACGGGAGGCAGCAGUAGGGAAUCUUCGGCAAUGGACGAAAGUCUGACCGAGCAACGCCGCGUGAGUGAAGAAGGUUUUCGGAUCGUAAAACUCUGUUGUUAGAGAAGAACAAGGACGUUAGUAACUGAACGUCCCCUGACGGUAUCUAACCAGAAAGCCACGGCUAACUACGUG
rnacentral:rRNA from 1 species